ACAAACUUGGUCAUUUAGAGGAAGUAAAAGUCGUAACAAGGUUUCCGUAGGUGAACCUGCGGAAGGAUCAUUAGUGAAAUCACAAGUCGGCUGUCUGUGCUGGUGGGUCACCACAUGUGCACGAUGGUCGCAAAAUCCACACACCUGUGCACUUGUGACUUUGGAGCUCGCCCGACCGGGGGUUGACUAAUGGUCAACCAGAGUCCCAGGGUAAUUUUUACACACUCUGAAUGUCUUGGAAUGUAUCUGUGCAUAAUGCGCAAAAAUACAACUUUCAACAACGGAUCUCUUGGCUCUCGCAUCGAUGAAGAACGCAGC
rnacentral:misc_RNA from 1 species